rnacentral:rRNA from 1 species
AUUGAACGCUGGCGGCAUGCCUUACACAUGCAAGUCGAACGGCAGCACGGGGGCAACCCUGGUGGCGAGUGGCGAACGGGUGAGUAAUGCAUCGGAACGUGCCCGAAUCGUGGGGGAUAACGUAGCGAAAGUUACGCCAAUACCGCAUAAGCCCUGAGGGGGAAAGCAGGGGGAUCGCAAGACCUUGCGCGAAUGGAGCGGCCGAUGUCAGAUUAGCUAGUUGGUGGGGUAAAGGCCUACCAAGGCGACGAUCUGUAGCGGGUCUGAGAGGAUGAUCCGCCACACUGGGACUGAGACACGG